UACGAAGGGGGCUAGCGUUGCUCGGAAUCACUGGGCGUAAAGGGCGCGUAGGCGGUUCGAUAAGUCGGACGUGAAAUCUCCACGCUCAACGUGGAGGGGCCGUUCGAUACUGUCGUGACUCGAGUCCGGUAGGGGAGUGUGGAAUUCCCGGUGUAGCGGUGAAAUGCGCAGAGAUCGGGAGGAACACCCGUAGCGAAGGCGGCACUCUGGGCCGGUACUGGACGCUGAGGAGCGAAAGCGUGGGGAGCGAACAGGA
rnacentral:rRNA from 1 species